AACUGGUUCAUUAAAUCGAACUGUCCGAAAGAACCGAACUUCCCAUCCCUACAAUUUAGCAGAUAAACAAAGUACAAAUCUUACAUUUGUGGAGAAAAUCAUAGCUGAUGAAUAAAUUGAGAUGGUGACGUUGUUGACGUCUGAAAUAAACGUGAGGAAGCAAAUUUGUCACAUUCACUCUUUAAACUGUUUUCACGUCAUUUUUCUGUCUCCAUUUUGUUUCUGUGUCUCCAAAGCUGCAGCAGUUCAGUUUACCUUCAGAACCAAAGAGCAGAGAAGAUUUUCUGCAGUAUUUCUGUUAUCUGACUCUGGAUCCAAACACAGCACAUCCUCAACUCAUUCUGUCUGAGAAGAACAGAGUGGUGACAUUCAGUAAGACACAACAGCGAUAUUCUGAUCAUCCAGAGAGAUUUGACUCCAGGACUCAGGUGUUGUGUAAGGAGAGUGUGUGUGGACGCUGUUACUGGGAGGUUUAGAGGAGCGGUGAUGUGGACAUAUCAGUGUCAUAUAAAGAGAUCAGCAGGAAAGGAGGGGGUAAUGAGUGUUGGUUUGGACACAACAGUCAGUCCUGGAGUCUGGAGUGUUCUUCUUCCUCUGUCUCUUUCUGGCACAACAGCAUUAAGACUGAGCUCCGAGGUCCAUCAUCCUCCAGAAUAGGAGUGUAUGUGGAUCACAGUGCAGGAACUCUGUCCUUCUACAGCAUCUCUGACACCAUGAGGCUCCUCCAGAGUCCACACCACAUUCACUCAGCCUCUAUACGCUGGAUUCUGUAUGUGUUAUAAUAACUCAUCUGUGAGGUUUUGUGAUCCAAAAUAAAAUGUUAGUAAAAGUUUUCAGUAAAAUUCUAACUGAGGUGUGAGAUAUAAUUUGUCCCUGAGCUACACUGGUCAUUUUGUGUGCAGAAACUGGAACAGUAAUGAAUGCUGAAUGUAGGAUGUUUCUAGAAAUAAGAAAUGCUUUCAAACAGACUAUUUAACUGUAUGCACUCUUAGGAUGGAUUUAUUAUACGUGAUAU